rnacentral:sRNA from 1 species
ACUGUGGCGGUGACGGUGCUGGGAGACCCCGCGUGCGCUUUCCCCUUGAGAUGUAAACCGGGAACGGGGAAGGGGCUGAGGGGAGAAAGGACAUGGCCUUCCCCGCGAGUCCAUGGCCAGUGACUGUGGCCCGACUCGAAAACAACCCUCUUCUCAAAAGGGACCAUCACCGCCCCGAGCGUGCGCACACAGACCGGUCGGAGGCGAGACCUGGUCUUUACAGGACACAGUUCAGCUCCUCUGUGGAUGCGUCCCCAGAUCGCAGGAUUUCCAAGAAAUCGAGCCUGUCCCUUGUGCACUUGGGAAUAAUUCCCCAAGACAGCACUUCGGGAUUCCGGGUUAUCCUGAGGCUGCCCGGGACUCUUCCAGCUCUCCAGCCCCAGGUCUCCUGACAUUGUGUUCCAGGCUGCGGGCUAAGCCAGACAGUGUUUGCCUCCCGUUCUUUCCACCGUGGGAAGCGAACGCCACCCCCACCCGCCUUUGCCUGCGAGUCUCCCUCGCUGGCAGAAGGGAAGCCGGCCCAGUCCCGGGAGGAAGAUGGCGCAGCGAAUUCGAAUUUUAGAGUUGGAUCUUUGUCUCAUGGAUGCUCUUAGGAGACCCACCAACCACCAACUCCUGGUAUUGCAACUGGAACCCCUCGACCUGGGUGAAUGUACUCUUUUCAGCAACCAUAUCCUCCCUCCUCUUGCCAGGUAAGGUGAGAAGCAAUUCCUCUGCCUAGAAGCUCUGCUGGGUGAAAUAUCAGGAGAUCCCACCCAAGCUUUCUCUUGCGUGUAGCCUAUAUCCAGCACAGGAGCAUAGGCUCAUCCUGCAGUUGGCCAGCCUCUUGUCCUCUGGAUAUCCUGGGAGGGAAUCCUAAUGAAGGAAUCUCCAGUGGUUUACUGAAGCCCUUUGUGCUAGGCCUGAGGUGAGAUGGAAUUGCUCCAUCCUAUGCCCAGGAGGCCUGCGAGGACUCACAGUGCACCACCAUCCUCAGAAAUCCUCUCUCCCUGUAGGCUGUGGUCUGAAUCUUUGUGUCUUCCCAAAAUUCAUAUGUUGAAAUCCUAACCCCCCAGGUGAUAAUAUUAGAAGAUGGGGCCUUUCAGGAGUUGACUAAAACUUCAAGGAAAAGCUCUCACAAAUGGGAUUAGUUCCCUUAUAAAAUAGGUCCAAGGAAACUUGCUCACUUCUAACACCAUGUGAGGACACAGUGAGAAGGCACCAUCUAUAAGCCAGAAAGCUGUCCCUCACCAGACAUAGAUCUGCUGGCACCUUGAUCUUGGACUUCCCACCCUCCAGAACUGGGAGAAAUAAGUGUAAAUUGUUUAUAAGCUACACAGUUUAUGGUAUUAUGUUAUAGCAGCCCAAACAGACAUUGUAUUUCCUCAAUGUUGGUUUAAGAGUUGUCUAAACCAGUUUAUUAUCAUACUGUGGAUGUUUCUAGCUCUCACUGUAGCAUUCCAUCUCUUUUCUAUCUCAGUGACUUAGUCAAAGCAUCUAGUUGAACACUCUGUUAUUUAAAGAAACCAGCAUUCACUGGCUGUUCCCAGCUCCAGGAACUCAGGUGGAUUCAUAAUUUGUUCUGUUUCCUUGCACUUAGGAAAAGUACUGACAGCUCAUAAUUGGUUGUAUUUCUUAGGAUAUUUGCAUUUAAACUAGAAGCAAUGCUUUCUUUUCUUGGUAUAAUUUGUCUUACAUUUUUUAAAGUAAUAGCUAUUCAUUAAAUUACAUUUGAAAAUGCAGGAAGAAAGAAAAAAAUUGUCUAUAAUUCUACCACUCAUAUAAAACCACUAUUCACGUAUGGGUACUUUCCUCUAUUAACCUUUCAAAGCAUGUCUCAAUUUUAAUUGUAUUCACACAAAUACAAUUUUAUGUCAUACAUUUUACUUAUUAAUAUGCUAUUAGCAUCACCAAUGUCAAUAUAAACUCCAUGUAAACAUCAAUUUAAUGGUUGCAAAGUAUUAUAUCAACUGGAUAUGCCAUGGCUUAUUUAAUCACUGUAUUUAUUGUUAAAUAUUUGCAUUGUUUACACUGUUUGGUAUUGAAAACCAUGCUGCAAUAAAUAUCUUUGGAUAGA